rnacentral:rRNA from 1 species
AACGAACGCUGGCGGCAUGCCUAACACAUGCAAGUCGAACGAGACCUUCGGGUCUAGUUGCGCACGGGUGCGUAACGCGUGGGAACCUGCCCUUAGGUUCGGAAUAACUCCCCGAAAGGGGUGCUAAUACCGGAUAAUGUCUUCGGACCAAAGGUUUAUCGCCUUUGGAUGGGCCCGCGUUGGAUUAGCUAGUUGGUAGGGUAAAAGCCUACCAAGGCGACGAUCCAUAGCUGGUCUGAGAGGAUGAUCAGCCACACUGGGACUGAGACACGGCCCAGACUCCUACGGGAGGCAGCAGUGGGGAAUAUUGGACAAUGGGCGAAAGCCUGAUCCAGCAAUGCCGCGUGAGUGAUGAAGGCCUUAGGGUUGUAAAGCCCUUUUACCCGGGAUGAUAAUGACAGUACCGGGAGAAUAAGCUCCGGCUAACUCCGUG